ensembl:lncRNA
UUUCUGAAGAGUCAGGGUGGCGUGUUUGGAAAGCCUUGUAUGGCAAGGGCAUGUGAAUUCCUGGGGAGGGCCUGGCAAGCUUUACUGCUCUAUGGGAGAUCAAAGCUAAAAGGCUCUUUUUGCAAACCUAGCAAACAGCAAACGUGAGACCUUCACGUGAUUGCAGAACUGACCUCGCCCUGAGGUUAUUGGUAAGGGGGGGGGGAGUGGGGAACACGGGACACGGGACAACAAGCUGAGGAAGGAGAUUUCCCUGGAGUCAAGAAUUUAAGCUGGUUUUUGCUAUGGUGACAAGGCGGGAUAGACAUUGUGAGUGCCUUUCACUUACACCACCCCCCCCCAGGAAGAACACCCGCGGGAAAGGAAUGACACAGAUAGAGUGGGGAUAUCCCUAGGGACUCCCUGUUUGCUUAUACGACACCACACUGCCCACUCAACUGACUUUGGGCUGUUGUGGUCCUGCUUUUGCUGAGCAUGUUUCCAUAUGAAGGAAGGGCCAGAGAUCAAGACUCCCCUGGCGUUUGCAGCCAGUGAGAAGGCAGAGGGAACCAGAGCUGAAAUUCAUUCAGCCUAAUCCUGCUCUUGGCAAGAAGCAAAGUUGUUUUCCAGUCUGUGUGAGGGUCUAGCUCAAUGGGAUGGCCUUGCAUUUUGAAUCUUCCUGCUUCUGCCUCCCAAGUGCUGGGGUUGCAGCUGUUACUCAUACACCCAAGUCAAAGAAGUGACUUUGGAUAUUCCUUGCAGUGGAGAUGAGGACAUGAGCCUACUUCGCACUCUCUACCUCUUUUGUGGGAUUCAAGGGAAUAAAAUGAAAGGUUGGGCUUUUUCUUGGUUCUAGAAGAUUCUAACAUGUAAACUCUGCUUUUUUCUCUACCAGGGACUUCUAGAAGAAGAGCAGAGGAACCAAGGAACCAGGGAAUGUGUUGUCUCACCCAAGGGAGACUAGAGUAGACCGAUGGCUUUUCUUUGGCUUAAAUCUUAGCUUAAGACAACAGGUGUAGGGGCUAGAGAGAGAUGGUUUAAUGCAACACUUAAGAGUGAUUGCUGCUCUUGCAAAGGACAAGGGUUCAAUUUCCAACACCCAGCAUGGCAGUUCACAGCCACCUGUAACUCCAACUCCAGAGAAUCUAGCACACUCUUCUGGCCUCUCUGGGUACCAGGCACAUACAUAAAUGCAGGCAAAACACCCAUACACAUAAAAUAAAAACUAAGUUAAAAAGGCAGCAGGUAUAGUUCAGUACAAUCUACUUAUAGCCAGUAUAGCGGCUCCUCAUGCCCAUAAUGCAAGUAAUGUAGAGGCUAAGGGAGGAGGAUUACUAUGAGUUCAAAGUGAGCCUGGGCUUCUUAAGAGUUCCAGGUCACUACAGUAGAAGACCUGUCUCAAUCAAUCAAUCGAUUAAUCAAUCAAUCAUCAAAAACUCUACCAAAACAAAAACAACCACACAACAUCCUUUGCUCUCACACCAGCUAGACAGUCUAGCUUUACUACACACACACACACCUGGCAUGCACAUGCACACAGACACAUAUAGAGUCAAUUUUAGCUCCCAAGAGACCAGAUUCAAUGAACAACACUCCAUAAAGUGCAGCCUGG